rnacentral:rRNA from 1 species
GGGCCCGCACAAGCGGAGGAACAUGUGGUUUAAUUCGAUGAUACGCGAGGAACCUUACCCGGGCUCGAACGGCAGUGGAAUGUAUGUGAAAGCAUACAGCUAGCAAUAGCCGCUGUCGAGGUGCUGCAUGGUUGUCGUCAGCUCGUGCCGUGAGGUGUCGGCUUAAGUGCCAUAACGAGCGCAACCCUUAUCGUUAGUUACCAUCAGGUAGUGCUGGGGACUCUAGCGAGACUGCCACCGUAAGGUGUGAGGAAGGUGGGGAUGACGUCAAAUCAGCACGGCCCUUACAUCCGGGGCGACACACGUGUUACAAUGGCAGGGACAAAGGGCAGCCACCCGGCGACGGGGCGCUAAUCCCAAAACCCUGUCUCAGUUCGGAUCGGAGUCUGCAACUCGACUCCGUGAAGCCGGAUUCGCUAGUAAUCGCGCAUCAGCCAUGGCG